rnacentral:rRNA from 1 species
AUUGAACGCUGGCGGCAUGCCUUACACAUGCAAGUCGAACGGCAGCACGGGAGCAAUCCUGGUGGCGAGUGGCGAACGGGUGAGUAAUAUAUCGGAACGUGCCCGGUAGUGGGGGAUAACUGCUCGAAAGAGCAGCUAAUACCGCAUACGACCUGAGGGUGAAAGGGGGGGAUCGCAAGACCUCUCGCCAUUGGAGCGGCCGAUAUCAGAUUAGCUAGUUGGUGGGGUAAAGGCCUACCAAGGCAACGAUCUGUAGUCGGUCUGAGAGGACGACCAGCCACACUGGGACUGAGACACGGCCCAGACUCCUACGGGAGGCAGCAGUGGGGAAUUUUGGACAAUGGGCGCAAGCCUGAUCCAGCAGUGCCGCGUGCAGGAAGAAGGCCUUCGGGUUGUAAACUGCUUUUGUCAGGGAAGAAAUCCUCUAGGUUAAUACCCUUGGGGGGAUGACGGUACCUGAAGAAUAAGCACCGGCUAACUACGUGCCAGCCGCCGCGGUAACAC